UGCCUCCAGACUUCUUACCCCGCAGACCUAAUCCCUGGUCUGAGCGGCUCAAAAAAAAGGGAGGAGAAGUCAAAGUGAAGUGAACUUGGAGUGUUUUGUGACAUACAAGUUCAUUUCAAACGUGG
rnacentral:snoRNA from 1 species